CCUACGGGAGGCUGCAGUGAGGAAUAUUGGUCAAUGGGCGCGAGCCUGAACCAGCCAAGUCGCGUGAGGGAUGACGGCCCUACGGGUUGUAAACCUCUUUUGCCGGGGAGUAACGGGCGUCACGUGUGGCGCCACUGAGAGUACCCGGAGAAAAAGCAUCGGCUAACUCCGUGCCAGCAGCCGCGGUAAUACGGGGGAUGCGAGCGUUAUCAGGAUUUAUUGGGUUUAAGGGGUGCGUAGGCGGAUGGUUAAGUCAGUGGUAAAAUUUAGGGGCUAAACCCCUUCCCGCCAUUGAAACUGGCGUUCUUGAGUGGAAGAGAAGUAGGCGGAAGGCGUGGUGUAGCGGUGAAAUGCAUAGAUAUCACGAAGAACCCCGAUUGCGAAGGCAGCAUGCCGGCUUCCGACUGACGCUGAAGCACGAAAGCGUGGGGAUCGAACAGGAUUAGAUACCCCAGUAGUC
rnacentral:rRNA from 1 species